CCGGCCGGGAACAGUGCCCGGGAGGCAACGUUCCCACGAGGAAGGAAGGUGUUCUCGCCCCCGGAGCGAGGAAGGCCACUACCGGACAGCGGAAGCGACUGAAGGGCCGGGUCCGAGUCACCGCCGCCCUGGCUGAGGCUACCUUUCCAAAACAUUGAGCAGGGAUUUCAGCGGGAAGGACUCUGGCCUGGCUCCUCCAUUUCUUCCACCAGUCGGAGGCAGGUGGCAGUACAACUCCACGUCCGGGGCAGGACGGGGCGGAUGGUGGGGACCCAGCGCCCGGGAAAAGCAAGCUCGCUGGACACAGUGGCACACACCUAUAAUCCCAGCACUUCUGAGAGACUGAGGCAGGAGGAUCUCAAGUUCAACUGGUGCCAGAGCAACAUAGCGAGACAAUGUCUCAAAAUAAAAAAAGAGCUGGAGACA